rnacentral:rRNA from 1 species
GACGAACGCUGGCGGCGUGCUUAAUACAUGCAAGUCGAACGGAAAGGCCCUGCUUUUGUGGGGUGCUCGAGUGGCGAACGGGUGAGUAACACGUGAGUAACCUGCCCUUGACUUUGGGAUAACUUCAGGAAACUGGGGCUAAUACCGGAUAGGAGCUCCUGCUGCAUGGUGGGGGUUGGAAAGUUUCGGCGGUUGGGGAUGGACUCGCGGCUUAUCAGCUUGUUGGUGGGGUAGUGGCUUACCAAGGCUUUGACGGGUAGCCGGCCUGAGAGGGUGACCGGCCACAUUGGGACUGAGAUACGGCCCAGACUCCUACGGGAGGCAGCGGUGGGGAGUAUUGCACAAUGGGCGGAAGCCUGAUGCAGCAACGCCGCGUGCGGGAUGACGGCCUUCGGGUUGUAAACCGCUUUCGCCUGUGACGAAGCGUGAGUGACGGUAAUGGGUAAAGAAGCACCGGCUAACUACGUG